rnacentral:rRNA from 1 species
GGUUAAGCGACUAAGCGUACACGGUGGAUGCCCUGGCAGUCAGAGGCGAUGAAGGACGUGCUAAUCUGCGAUAAGCGUCGGUAAGGUGAUAUGAACCGUUAUAACCGGCGAUUUCCGAAUGGGGAAACCCAGUGUGAUUCGUCACACUAUCAUUAACUGAAUCCAUAGGUUAAUGAGGCGAACCGGGGGAACUGAAACAUCUAAGUACCCCGAGGAAAAGAAAUCAACCGAGAUUCCCCCAGUAGCGGCGAGCGAACGGGGAGCAGCCCAGAGCCUGAAUCAGUGUGUGUGUUAGUGGAAGCGUCUGGAAAGGCGCGCGAUACAGGGUGACAGCCCCGUACACAAAAAUGCACAUGCUGUGAGCUCGAUGAGUAGGGCGGGACACGUGGUAUCCUGUCUGAAUAUGGGGGGACCAUCCUCCAAGGCUAAAUACUCCUGACUGACCGAUAGUGAACCAGUACCGUGAGGGAAAGGCGAAAAGAACCCCGGCGAGGGGAGUGAAAAAGAACCUGAAACCGUGUACGUACAAGCAGUGGGAGCACGCUUAGGCGUGUGACUGCGUACCUUUUGUAUAAUGGGUCAGCGACUUAUAUUCUGUAGCAAGGUUAACCGAAUAGGGGAGCCGAAGGGAAACCGAGUCUUAACUGGGCGUUAAGUUGCAGGGUAUAGACCCGAAACCCGGUGAUCUAGCCAUGGGCAGGUUGAAGGUUGGGUAACACUAACUGGAGGACCGAACCGACUAAUGUUGAAAAAUUAGCGGAUGACUUGUGGCUGGGGGUGAAAGGCCAAUCAAACCGGGAGAUAGCUGGUUCUCCCCGAAAGCUAUUUAGGUAGCGCCUCGUGAAUUCAUCUCCGGGGGUAGAGCACUGUUUCGGCAAGGGGGUCAUCCCGACUUACCAACCCGAUGCAAACUGCGAAUACCGGAGAAUGUUAUCACGGGAGACACACGGCGGGUGCUAACGUCCGUCGUGAAGAGGGAAACAACCCAGACCGCCAGCUAAGGUCCCAAAGUCAUGGUUAAGUGGGAAACGAUGUGGGAAGGCCCAGACAGCCAGGAUGUUGGCUUAGAAGCAGCCAUCAUUUAAAGAAAGCGUAAUAGCUCACUGGUCGAGUCGGCCUGCGCGGAAGAUGUAACGGGGCUAAACCAUGCACCGAAGCUGCGGCAGCGACGCUGAUGCGUUGUUGGGUAGGGGAGCGUUCUGUAAGCCUGCGAAGGUGUGCUGUGAGGCAUGCUGGAGGUAUCAGAAGUGCGAAUGCUGACAUAAGUAACGAUAAAGCGGGUGAAAAGCCCGCUCGCCGGAAGACCAAGGGUUCCUGUCCAACGUUAAUCGGGGCAGGGUGAGUCGACCCCUAAGGCGAGGCCGAAAGGCGUAGUCGAUGGGAAACAGGUUAAUAUUCCUGUACUUGGUGUUACUGCGAAGGGGGGACGGAGAAGGCUAUGUUGGCCGGGCGACGGUUGUCCCGGUUUAAGCGUGUAGGCUGGUUUUCCAGGCAAAUCCGGAAAAUCAAGGCUGAGGCGUGAUGACGAGGCACUACGGUGCUGAAGCAACAAAUGCCCUGCUUCCAGGAAAAGCCUCUAAGCAUCAGGUAACAUCAAAUCGUACCCCAAACCGACACAGGUGGUCAGGUAGAGAAUACCAAGGCGCUUGAGAGAACUCGGGUGAAGGAACUAGGCAAAAUGGUGCCGUAACUUCGGGAGAAGGCACGCUGAUAUGUAGGUGAAGUCCCUCGCGGAUGGAGCUGAAAUCAGUCGAAGAUACCAGCUGGCUGCAACUGUUUAUUAAAAACACAGCACUGUGCAAACACGAAAGUGGACGUAUACGGUGUGACGCCUGCCCGGUGCCGGAAGGUUAAUUGAUGGGGUUAGCGCAAGCGAAGCUCUUGAUCGAAGCCCCGGUAAACGGCGGCCGUAACUAUAACGGUCCUAAGGUAGCGAAAUUCCUUGUCGGGUAAGUUCCGACCUGCACGAAUGGCGUAAUGAUGGCCAGGCUGUCUCCACCCGAGACUCAGUGAAAUUGAACUCGCUGUGAAGAUGCAGUGUACCCGCGGCAAGACGGAAAGACCCCGUGAACCUUUACUAUAGCUUGACACUGAACAUUGAGCCUUGAUGUGUAGGAUAGGUGGGAGGCUUUGAAGUGUGGACGCCAGUCUGCAUGGAGCCGACCUUGAAAUACCACCCUUUAAUGUUUGAUGUUCUAACGUGGACCCGUAAUCCGGGUUGCGGACAGUGUCUGGUGGGUAGUUUGACUGGGGCGGUCUCCUCCUAAAGAGUAACGGAGGAGCACGAAGGUUGGCUAAUCCUGGUCGGACAUCAGGAGGUUAGUGCAAUGGCAUAAGCCAGCUUGACUGCGAGCGUGACGGCGCGAGCAGGUGCGAAAGCAGGUCAUAGUGAUCCGGUGGUUCUGAAUGGAAGGGCCAUCGCUCAACGGAUAAAAGGUACUCCGGGGAUAACAGGCUGAUACCGCCCAAGAGUUCAUAUCGACGGCGGUGUUUGGCACCUCGAUGUCGGCUCAUCACAUCCUGGGGCUGAAGUAGGUCCCAAGGGUAUGGCUGUUCGCCAUUUAAAGUGGUACGCGAGCUGGGUUUAGAACGUCGUGAGACAGUUCGGUCCCUAUCUGCCGUGGGCGCUGGAGAACUGAGGGGGGCUGCUCCUAGUACGAGAGGACCGGAGUGGACGCAUCACUGGUGUUCGGGUUGUCAUGCCAAUGGCACUGCCCGGUAGCUAAAUGCGGAAGAGAUAAGUGCUGAAAGCAUCUAAGCACGAAACUUGCCCCGAGAUGAGUUCUCCCUGACUCCUUGAGAGUCCUGAAGGAACGUUGAAGACGACGACGUUGAUAGGCCGGGUGUGUAAGCGCAGCGAUGCGUUGAGCUAACCGGUACUAAUGAACCGUGAGGCUUAACCUU